GUACGUGUAGCUUAGUCGGCUAAAGCGCCUGACUGUGACUCAGGAGAUCGUGGGUUCGAGUCCCAUCAUGUACCCCA
rnacentral:tRNA from 1 species